rnacentral:misc_RNA from 1 species
AAGUCGUAACAAGGUUUCCGUAGGUGAACCUGCGGAAGGAUCAUUAAUGAAUUUUAGAGUGUCCUAAUUUAACAUUAGGACCUCGACCCUUCAUUUCCAACACUGUGAACUUCGAUUCGGAUUAGACCGCGCAAGUAGUCUAAUCCAACCCAUUUCAAAAAUCUAUACUAGUUUAAGAAUGUCUAAAUCAAAACAAAAAAA